GACCAGACUCCUACGGGAGGCAGCAGUGGGGAAUAUUGCACAAUGGGGGAAACCCUGAUGCAGCGACGCCGCGUGAGUGAAGAAGUAUUUCGGUAUGUAAAGCUCUAUCAGCAGGGAAGAAAAUGACGGUACCUGACUAAGAAGCCCCGGCUAACUACGUGCCAGCAGCCGCGGUAAUACGUAGGGGGCAAGCAUUAUCCGGAUUUACUGGGUGUAAAGGGAGCGUAGACGGCGAUGCAAGCCAGAUGUGAAAGCCCGGGGCUCAACCCCGGGACUGCAUUUGGAACUGUGUGGCUGGAGUGUCGGAGAGGCAGGCGGAAUUCCUAGUGUAGCGGUGAAAUGCGUAGAUAUUAGGAGGAACACCAGUGGCGAAGGCGGCCUGCUGGACGAUGACUGACGUUGAGGCUCGAAAGCGUGGGGAGCAAACAGGAUUAGAUACCCGAGUAAA
rnacentral:rRNA from 1 species